GGGGGUCACUACACCAAAAUCGCUACUAAACCAUUAAUGGCAAAUUGCAGGCUGUCUGCCAUUGUCAGUACAGAAUUUAGAGGAGUUCACUAAGCCAUGAAUGAAAAAUCACUUAUCUAAUUCACUUCUAAAAUUAAGAAGAAUCACGCAAAAUUUUCCAGAGCCUUGAAUUUGGAGAAUCAACCAAUCAGCUAACUAAG
rnacentral:misc_RNA from 1 species